ensembl:lncRNA
GGAUAUUAUACAUGGCUAUGCUGAGGAUAUGUUGGCCAAUUUCCACUGGAAAUGCCUUUUGGUUAAACUGUCAGCAAGGAAUUUGCACUGUCACAUUUUUAUAUAACUUUAAUGCACAAAAAAAAAAAAAAGCUGCUUGUUUAAGUGAAAAUACAUUGAUGGGGUUUUCUGCACUAAUAAAGUUGUGGAGUUGUAAAGUGUUUUGUCUAGUGUCAAUUAUAUCGUCAGUUAUAUUGUUAUCGCAAAUUUUCAAAUGUAUAUCAUUUAUCACAUUUUUCAAAUGUGAUAAAUAUUUUUGGUCAUAUCGCCCUGCUCAAUUGGGCAGUGCAUUUAUCACGACAUGUAAUGUGUUUUCUGGAUACACUGUGCUUUUUCAGUGUUCAAAGAUUGAUGGCUCCGUGUCAGAGCACUGGCUAUGAAUUUCAGAUGGAUCAGGCCUUAACUUAACCUCUUACUUUUGCAGCAAAACAGCAAAAGUAAGAGGGAAUUCAUGACGAUGUUUGUUAAAUGUGAAGCGUAGUUUCAGAGGUUUUUUUUUUAGUUUUUUUUUAGACGCCCCAUUAAAAAAUUUUGUCGCACUCUGGAGUCCUGCAACUAGGUCCAAGGUGGUGGAGCAUGAGGAUAACAUAGCAUUCAUAACUUCAUCAGCCGAGGGGGGAGUACGACACUUGGGGUCCAUCAUAUCAAAGACAGUAGUGAAAUUAGCCACAAUCUCAGAGUUGAUUACACGUACAGGGCAACAGAGAUCAGCAGUGUUCAUGUGUGUUACACCUAAGGCAGCAAUAAACGUAACCAGAUGAUGAUCAGAGAUGCCAACAUUGUCAAUGUCCUUAAUGUCCUUGAAGCUAGAGAAUGUAGAAAAAGGCAGUCGCUGAAGUUUACGUUUAUUUUUAAAAACCGUUGCUAUGCCUCCACCCUUCCCUGAAAGUCUCGGUUAGCUGAAAAAAACACAGUCAGGGGAAGGAGUUCAGAGAAGUAGAAAAGCUAACUGGGGCAAAUCCAAGUUUCGGUCAGGAACAAAACAUCCAGGUGCAGGGUGAGAAAAAGAUCAUUUAGGAUGAAGGUUUUAUUCACCAGUGAUCUUGUGUUAAGCAACGCCAUAACGCUCUUAGUCACCUUGUCCCUGACAGAGGCGCGUCUCAGCUUGCCUGUGUUGAGCGCAAGUCCCAAAGGUCCCAAUCCAGGUCCGAAGCGAUGAGCACACCACUGGAAAGGCCAGA